UUGUGGUGCUGGGGAUUGAACCCAGGUCUUUGUGCAUUCAAGGCAAGCACUCUACUGAGAUAUAUCCCCGCCCAGAGGAUAAUUUUAAAGAUUUUAUCUUCAUUAUUUUUUUGCCAUUCAUUAUUUUUCAUACUUUUCAGUUCCUGGAAAACAAUUUCUCUUUCUUUUCCUUUUUUUUUUUUUUGUUUUCUUUUUCUUUUUUUUUUGUACUGGGAAUUGAAUCUAAGGGUGCUUUACCACUAAGCUACAUCCCCAAUACUUUUUAUCUUUUAUUUUGAGAUAGGAUCUUACUAAGUUGCUCAGGCUCAGCCUCUUUAGUUGCUGGGAUUAUAGUCAUGUACCACUCUACUUGACUCGAACAUUAAUCAUUUGAAAUACAGUGCAUUCCUCAAAAUAAAAUGAUAACCUAUUUCUAGAAAAUACCUUCAUGAAUGCAUACCUUAUAUUACAUAUCAGUUAGGUGCCUAUACCUAAUAUUUUGUUCAGUUGAAUUUUAAUAAAGUCACUUUUGAAGUAAAGUUUAGGCCAUUUGCACAAUUAACUUAAAAUUACUUUCAAGCUUGGUACAGUGGUACACACCUGUAAUCCCAGCUACUCAAGAGGCUGAGUGAGGCAGGUCGGGUGCCAUGGCACACGCCAGUAACCCCAGUAGCUUGGGAAGCUGAGGCAGUAGGAUCACAAGUUCAAAAACAGCCUCAGCAAUUUAGCUAGGCCUUAUGCAACUCAGAGAGAGCCUGUCUCAAAAUAAAAAAUCAAAAGGGCUGGGGAUGUGGCUCAGAGGUUGAGUGCCCCUGUGUUCAAUCCCUGGUACCAAAAGAAGAAGAAGAAGAAGAGGAGGAGGAG
rnacentral:lncRNA from 1 species